rnacentral:sRNA from 1 species
ACAUGUUGCGUUUGAGUCACGCAGAUUAAAGCGUUUGAGUCACGCAGAUUAAGUAAUACACACCAAAGUAAUCAAAAGAUUUGUCCAGAUCCUCCCUCAUCGAGCAAAACAACGUAGAUUCCUUCUUCUUUACACGCGAAAAAGUUGAGAUCGGGAAACGAGUUAACUGUCUCCUUUCCCACUCUCUUUCUGCACCACCCUCCUUCUAUCUCUUCAAACAAUUUUGCCCUCUUUUCGUCCUUGCUGCAGAAUUCGAUAAUCUCAUUCCGUUCUUUGCGCCGAUUCAUCUCAUCCCAGUUCAUUGUGAAAACGUUUUCGCCUAACAUUCCGCCCUCAAUUCUAGAUCCUGGAAAUGUGAAUUUGGAAAAACACUUUUCCACAAACAUAUCAAACUCGUAUCUGGAUAACAGUCCAAUCGCUCUAGCGGGAGAGUUUUCUACGAUGGUCCGGAAUUCAUCCGCAUCAAGUCUCCUGUAACCGGUCGUGGUUAGCUUUACCGGUUUCUUGCUUCCGUCAAUUCCUUCAGUUGUUAUUAGAUAGACGUUGGGAGUAAUGGGGUAGCGUACUUGCCUGGCCAACUGAGACACUUCUUUUAGGUCAGGAAUUUUCCACAUCUCAAUUUCAUCAAUCAUCUCAAUCACCGGUGACUCAACAAUCACAAAAAGGCAAUGAAAGUGGUUUUUGAUCUCGAUGGGGUUCCCAGCAGAGAAUCCACAGGUGUAGAUCAGAACAUCGGUACUACUCAUAUCCUUCUUCUCUAUAUUCUUCAUUUUACCGUCGAAUCUAACAACGUUCUUGUUAGAAGGUACCAAUUUUUUAAUCUUGUUUCCCCAGCGUUUGGAAGGUACAACCACAACAACCUUGUAAUUCAUAUCCAUCGCAUACAAAAAACGAAUUAGAAGUCCGUUGUUUCCCACUGUAGAUCUGGGGUGAGACAUCUCUUCGUACAGCGCGAUAGAUUUGAUGUCGUUUGACAGAGGGUAAAUCACGCGGCUUAUCUCCCCGUCAUCGCACUCCAUCUUGCUUGCCGGUUCACUCACACUCUCAUCAGAAACAGGGGUAAUUUGGAUAAAGUUGUUCAUCUUGAUUUCUUGGUUACCGGUUUCUCCUCGUUGAAUUGUAGUUGUCUGCUCGAGUUUUCAGCUCAGAAUGAUUUUGUCUGUUCUCAUACCAGUUAUAUAGUUUUACGAGGAGAAAGACCUUGUAAAAAAGCAAGUACACCUCUCAAGCAAGCACACCUCAGAAGCAAGUACUCCUCAUAAGCAAGCACACCUCUCAAGCAAGCACUCCUUACUAUUUUGCGUGAAACAAACGCACAAAAUUACAAAUAAAAACUUUUAUUUUACAA